rnacentral:rRNA from 1 species
UACGGGGGGGAGCAAGCGUUUGUUCGGAUUUACUGGGCGUAAAGAGCGUGUAGGCGGUCCGGUAAGUCCGCUGUGAAAGUCGGGGGCUCAACCCUCGAAUGCCGGUGGAUACUGUCGGGCUAGAGUGCGGAAGAGGCGAGUGGAAUUCCUGGUGUAGCGGUGAAAUGCGCAGAUAUCAGGAGGAACACCUAUUGCGAAGGCAGCUCGCUGGGACGUUACUGACGCUGGAGACGCAAAAGCGUGGGGAGCAAACAGG